rnacentral:tRNA from 1 species
GCCUUCGUGGUGUAGUGGUCAGCACGCUGGGCGCCUAUUCCGAAGGGCCGUGGUUCGACUCCCGGCGAAGGCG